CAAGAGAUUUUUUGAGCUCUUCAUAUUCCUGGGGUUUCUUCGGGGGCAUGGUCAGCUCUCUUUUUGGAGAAAAUCAACUUCUUAAGUAAUUUGAAGAUAGUAUCCGCAGAGAGCCGCGACCACGCGUCCUGCCUUAACCCCGGAACCGGAAGUUAACAUCAGUUAAGUCCAUUGUUUUAGUGUUGGUCCUGUGCAGUUUUUCCAGGUAAUUGCUAUUGACCUUUUAGCCUGCAAUAAACACAUGUCUAUAAGUGAUUUUUCUGUUCUAGUAUAUCUAUUAUUUUUGGCAUAGAUUGCCAAAAUAAAAAAGACUGGUUCCAGUGUUAUUUCUGUUGAGAUAAUUUGUUUGAUAGUUUCUCUGAUUACAGACCAGAACUGUCUUAUUAUUCUACAGUCCCAUAUAAAGUGAAAAAGUGUUCCCUUUUCCUCAUUGCAUUUUGAGCAAGUAUCUGGAAUGUUGACAUUGAAUUUAUUUAAUUUAAUAGGCGUAAUGUAAACUCACAUCAACCACUUAGACUGUAAAAGCCUCAAUCUUGAGUUAAUUGUUUGUUUUUGUGCCUUUGUGCAGGCUACUCGCCAUUCUUCUACUGAUAUGUCUGUUCCUAGGUCUUUUCUCCAUGCAUCAAGUUUUAUAUUUGCAUUUUCUUUUGAGUUUGUAAGUAACAAAUUAUAGAAUUCGGAAAUAGCUCCUCUCCUACUGUCUUUGGUAACCAGUUCUUCAAGACUUUUGUGGUUUUAAAAGAGAUUUUUUGUUGUGUUUUUAAUAAAGUUUCUUAAUUGUAGGUAUUUGUAAAAUUGUUUUCUGUUAAUGUAUUAUCUUGAUUGUAGCAUUUAGAAAGACAUCAUGUCUGAGGCUCUUACUGGAUACAGAUCUUGAAUUUUUUCCAAACCAUUCAUUGCCCAUUGUUUGAACACUGCACCAAACGGCAUUAUGGAAAUGCGUUAGCUGGAGCGGGUGCUGGUGUGUAGCACAGAAGAGAACCUACAAAAAAUUAAAGAGACUUAAGAAAAUAGAAAGUCAGUUCUAGUCAGCUUUAACUACCAUGACAGGCUCCAUAUCCCUCCCAAGGGUACGCCAGUCUGGAUAAGGGUCUAAAUAAUCUCUGGUGAUCCAAUCACAUCUACAGGAGCAGAAAGGGCGCACUCUCUCUAUUGUAACGUUUCCUCGUGAACACAAAGCCUCUAGUCCUUUGUGUGUUUGUUAACCCCUUUAACAGUUCCCUACCUCAUGUGUGAUAAUUAACACUGAGUGAGUUAUGUUGUUUAACUUGCUUGCACUCAUCCUGAUUUAAUUGCAUUUUGCAUUGAAGACAAACUGAAUGGAAUGAGCGUAACGUUCUGUUAGUUUAGCAACAAAGUCCUUGAUCAUCGUGGUUUUAUCAAGUGGAUCAGGUUUUUGUGGAUGGGAAGGUUGGACUUUCUACUCAAGCUGUUCCUAAAACUACUUCAGAUUUUAUUCAAAUUAUAUUGGAUCGUUUUCUUAAACAAUCAAGGAGACAUUAUUUGUGUUAUCCCUUGUCCAGUAUGUUCUUAUAUCACUGAAACAGGUUUAAAACACCAUGUUCUAAAGAUUACACCCAGAGGAACCUCACAUGAAAACAGACGUGGUUAACAGUAGCAGAUGCCUGCUCUUAUUGUGUGGUUUCUGGUGCAGAAUCUAAGGUUUGAUUCUCCCUUUGCCCGAGUUUCAAAGUGUCCUUUGGCAGGACCCUGAUCCCUUCAUUACAUUCAUGUACAGCCAUUGCUGUAAAGGGUUUCAAGCUUGAAGGAGGUGGAAAUGGGCUUUUAAAGUAGAUGUCUUCUAUUGCAGAAGCAUCUCAAUCGAACUCUUUCAACCUGCAUUAAGCCAGGGAACGGCAGCACCAAGCUGAGAGGAAACGAAGGGAGGAGACUGCUCUUCCUCAGGAAACAGCUUUCCUUCAGAGCGGGAGACUCCUGCAGGAUGUCUUAUCUGCACCGAGGCGCUGAUGCAGCCUGGGCACCGGUGAGGAGUGAAGCCUGACAGCCUGAAAGCUCUGGACGGGGCUGAGCUGCUGCGUUCAGUCACCUGGACUGCACCUGUCCGACAGGUGAGGGGGGCCGACACAGCAGAGGACAAAGGAAGCGACAGUAGCUGGAAACAAAGACAACAUGUGACCACGUCCUCUUCUGGGAGACCUCCAAAUCAAGAUCCCAGGCUCGGGGAGUCAGGGAAGGACAGACUUUGAAAGGAUCGAGGAUCUGAGGUUGAUGCUGAAGCUAAGCUCCUGAUGGGAAUGGAGAUACUUCUAGAGCUCUUCCUCUGACCACUUCACACUCCUGUUUUCCUCCUUUGGACAGACAUGAGGCCCCCCAAGCUCCCUGAGUGUUUCUGGUGUGAGAGCAGAAGCUGAAGCUGCUGCAAACACGCGUGUCGGCGGGCUCUCGCAAGGUAAAUGUUAGAGUCACCUGAGGAGACUCGUUCCCCACGAGUCCAUCCUCUGUUGCCCUCCAUCAGCUCAGAUGGACCUGUACUUCAAAGCUCAAAAACAUCAGAACCAUAACAUUAAUUCAGCCUACUUUGUGAUGACAGCAGCCGCUAAUCACUGACCCACAGCGCCCACUGCAGGCCAGAUGGAGUAAAGACAUCUCUAUUUGCAUGUAAUGCUCAUUCUGAUCAUUAAAAUGUGACUCCAAUCAUCCUGACUUCUUUGUUUCUUUGCUCUUCAUCUUUUCCUCUUAUAUACCCCCCUCCAUCUAGAUCUUUAUGAACUGCCCCUUCUCAGUGAUUUGGAUUUUUUAAUUCAUUUAUAAAUUUAAUUUAUUUAUAAAUUUAAUGUAUAAAUUUACUUAUAAUUUACUUACUAUUAUCCCAAUACAUCCUAUUGUUUAUUGCCCUUUUGGGUUUAAUUUUUAUUUGUAUAACUACAGCAAUAUUUGUUUCUAACUUGCGAUGUGAUGAUUAAAAGGGAUUGAUGGUUUAGGAGAGAUAUUUUGGGGAUUCACUGUUAAAGCUUAAAUGUCAGUUUGUUUUGUUUGUAUAGGAACUGGAGUGGGCAGGAUCACACAGUGUAUUGUUUUCUGUUUGUUUUAUUACCAGAAUAAAGGGAGGCUUCUCUCCAAGAGGUAA